UCACCGAAGUCAAGCAUGAUUGGGAGCGGGCAGUACUUGGGUGGGUGAACACCUGGGAACACCGCGUGCCGUUG